AAGAACCGUUGCCCAUCAGACUUUGAAAAUCCCAAGUAUCUGAGUCUGGUUCCCAACUACCCAGCACACGGGGUCAUUUCAAACGGGACCAUUUGGGAUAAGACUGAAGCAAAGUACAAGCUAAGGAGAUAAAUACUCUCCCAGUCAUCUGUUUCUCUCCUCCGUCACUUGAUAUCUUCUCACAGGAAAUCAGAACAGACAGAUAAAAAUGAAGCCGUGUUUAAACUUCACCAAUGAACAGAUGGAACCAGGGAAAAAGAAGAGGCUUCCAGAAGAGACGAGGAGAGAUUGAGACUUGAAAAAG